GGCCGCGGGAUUAGAGUUUGAUCCUGGCUCAGGACGAACGCUUGCGGCGUGCCUAAGAAAUGCAAGUCGAGCGGAAGUAGCAAUACUUUAGCGGCGAACGGUCGCGUAACACGUAGCCAACCUGCCCAGAAGACCGGGACAACACUCCGAAAGGGGUGCUAAUACCGGAUGUGCCCAUUUUGCCACAUGGCUUAAUGAGUAAAUCAUUUAUGGCUUCUGGAGGGGGCUGCGGCCUAUCAGCUAGAUGGUGGGGUAAUGGCCUACCAUGGCGUCGACGGGUAGCUGGUCUGAGAGGAUGGUCAGCCGGACUGGGACUGAGAUACGGCCCAGACUCCUACGGGGGGCAGCAAUUAGGAAUCUUGCGCAAUGGGGGCAACCCUGACGCAGCGACGCCGCGUGGAGGAUGACGGCCUUCGGGUUGUAAACUCCUUUUAUCGGGGAAGAAACAAAUGACGGUACCCGAUGAAUAAGCCCCGGCUAACUCCGUGCCAGCAGCCGCGGUAAUACGGAGGGGGCGAGCGUUGUCCGAAGUUACUGGGCGUAAAGCGCGCGUAGGCGGGUGUGUAAGUCCGCUGUGAAAGCCCGGGGCUCAACCCCGGAGGGUCGGUGGAUACUGUACAUCUUGAAGUGGCUAGGGGGAGAUGGAAUUACCGGUGUAGCGGUGAAAUGCGUAGAGAUCGGUAGGAACACCAGUGGCGAAGGCGGUCUCCUGGAGCUUGCUUGACGCUGAUGCGCGAAAGCUGGGGGAGCGAACGGGAUUAGAUACCCCGGUAGUCCCAGCCCUAAACGAUGGAUACUAGGUGUCGGGGGUAUCGACCCCCCCGGUGCCGCAGCUUACGCAUUAAGUAUCCCGCCUGGGGGAGUACGGCCGC
rnacentral:rRNA from 1 species